UACGAAGGGGGCUAGCGUUGCUCGGAAUCACUGGGCGUAAAGGGCGCGUAGGCGGACUUUUAAGUCGGGGGUGAAAGCCCAGGGCUCAACCCUGGAAUUGCCUUCGAUACUGGGAGUCUUGAGUUCGGAAGAGGUUGGUGGAACUGCGAGUGUAGAGGUGAAAUUCGUAGAUAUUCGCAAGAACACCAGUGGCGAAGGCGGCCAACUGGUCCGAAACUGACGCUGAGGCACGAAAGCGUGGGGAGCAAACAGG
rnacentral:rRNA from 1 species